UACGUAGGGGGCAAGCGUUGUCCGGAUUUAUUGGGCGUAAAGAGCGUGUAGGCGGCUAUACAGGUCCGCUGUGAAAACUCGAGGCUCAACCUCGAGACGUCGGUGGAAACCGUCUGGCUAGAGUCCGGAAGAGGAGAGUGGAAUUCCUGGUGUAGCGGUGAAAUGCGCAGAUAUCAGGAAGAACACCUAUGGCGAAGGCAGCUCUCUGGGACGGUACUGACGCUGAGACGCGAAAGCGUGGGGAGCGAACAGG
rnacentral:rRNA from 1 species